AGUGAACGCUGGCGGUAGGCCUAACACAUGCAAGUCGAACGGCAGCACAGGAGAGCUUGCUCUCUGGGUGGCGAGUGGCGGACGGGUGAGGAAUACAUCGGAAUCUACUCUGUCGUGGGGGAUAACGUAGGGAAACUUACGCCAAUACCGCAUACGACCUACGGGUGAAAGCAGGGGACCUUCGGGCCUUGCGCGAUUGAAUGAGCCGAUGUCGGAUUAGCUAGUUGGCGGGGUAAAGGCCCACCAAGGCGACGAUCCGUAGCUGGUCUGAGAGGAUGAGCAGCCACACUGGAACUGAGACACGGUCCAGACUCCGACGGGAGGCAGCAGUGGGGAAUAUUGGACAAUGGGCGCAAGCCUGAUCCAGCCAUACCGCGUGGGUGAAGAAGGCCUUCGGGUUGUAAAGCCCUUUCGUUGGGAAAGAAAUCCAGCUGGCUAAUACCCGGUUGGGAUGACGGUACCCAAAGAAUAAGCACCGGCUAACUUCGUGCCAGCAGCCGCCGUAA
rnacentral:rRNA from 1 species